UAGGGGAAAUUGCCCCAGUAGCGGCGAGUGAAGCGGCAAGAGCUCAGAUUUGAAAUCGUGUUUCGGCACGAGUUGUAGAGUGUAGGCGGGAGUCUCUGUGGAGCGCGGUGUCCAAGUCCCUUGGAACAGGGUGCCUGAGAGGGUGAGAGCCCCGUAGGGUGCUGCGCGAAGCUUUUGAGGCCCUGCUGACGAGUCGAGUUGUUUGGGAAUGCAGCUCCAAGCGGGUGGUAAAUUCCAUCUAAGGCUAAAUAUUGGCGAGAGACCGAUAGCGAACAAGUACUGUGAAGGAAAGAUGAAAAGCACUUUGAAAAGAGAGUGAAACAGCACGUGAAAUUGUUGAAAGGGAAGGGUAUUGGGCUCGACAUGGGGGGUGCGCACCGCUGUCUCUUGUAGGCGGCGCUCUGGGCGCCCUCUGGGCCAGCAUCGGUUCCUGCUGCGGGAGAAGGGGCUCCGGAAAGUGGCUCUUCGGAGUGUUAUAGCCGGGGCCAGAUGCCGCGUGUGGGGACCGAGGACUGCGGCUUCUGUCUCGGAUGCUGGCAUAACGGCGCAAUACCGCCCGUCUUGAAACACGGAAC
rnacentral:rRNA from 1 species